GGGCCUGUAGCUCAGCUUGGUAGAGCGUCGGACUCUUAAUCCGCAGGUCGAGGGUUCAACAUUGUUCGACAAAUCGAACAAUGUACGUAAAGAACGUUUCGACGUUCUUUCCGAAGUUUGAUCAAAUCCCUCCAGGCCCG
rnacentral:tRNA from 1 species